rnacentral:rRNA from 1 species
GAUGAACGCUGGCGGCAUGCCUAAUACAUGCAAGUCGAACGGAGCACUUCGGUGCUUAGUGGCGAACGGGUGAGUAACACGUAGGUAACAUACUUAUAAGCCGAGGAUAACGGUUGGAAACGACUGCUAAGACUGGAUAGGAAUAUUGGGGGCAUCCCUGAUAUUUUAAAGGACCACAGGUACACUUAUAAAAUGACCUGCGGCGCAUUAGCUAGUUGGUAAGGUAGCGGCUUACCAAGGCGAUGAUGCGUAGCCGGACUGAGAGGUUGAACGGCCACAUUGGGACUGAGACACGGCCCAGACUCCUACGGGAGGCAGCAGUAGGGAAUUUUCGGCAAUGGGGGGAACCCUGACCGAGCAAUGCCGCGUGAAUGAAGAAAUACUUCGGUAUGUAAAGUUCUUUUAUUUGGGAAGAACGGCUAGUGGAAAAGCUAGAGUGACGGUACCAAAUGAAUAAGCCCCGGCUAACUAUGUGCCAGCAGCCGCGGUAAUACAUAGGGGGCAAGCGUUAUCCGGAAUUAUUGGGAGUAAAGGGUGCGUAGGCGGUUAGUAAAGUUUAAGGUAUAAGCUCAUGGCUCAACCAUGGGAGGCUUUAGAAACUGGCUAACUUGAGUGCAGUAGAGGCAAGUGGAAUUCCAUGUGUAGCGGUAAAAUGCGUAAAUAUAUGGAGGAACACCAGUAGCGAAGGCGGCUUGCUGGGCUGUAACUGACGCUGAGGCACGAAAGCGUGGGGAGCAAACAGG